AAUCAACGCCGGCGGCGUGCCUAACACAUGCAAGUCGCACGAGAAAGGGUAGCAAUACCUGAGUAAAGUGGCGCACGGGUGAGUAACACGUGACUAAUCUACCCUCGAGUGGGGAAUAACUGAGAGAAAUCUUAGCUAAUACCGCAUAACACUUACGAGUCAAAGCAGCAAUGCGCUUGGGGAGGAGGUCGCGGCAGAUUAGCUAGUUGGUGGGGUAAUGGCCCACCAAGGCAAUGAUCUGUAUCCGGCCUGAGAGGGCGCACGGACACACUGGAACUGAAACACGGUCCAGACUCCUACGGGAGGCAGCAGUGGGGAAUUUUGCGCAAUGGGGGAAACCCUGACGCAGCAACGCCGCGUGGAGGAUGAAAUCCCUUGGGAUGUAAACUCCUUUCGAUAGGGAAGAUAAUGACGGUACCUAUAGAAGAAGCCCCGGCUAACUUCGUGCCAGCCGCCGCCGU
rnacentral:rRNA from 1 species